rnacentral:lncRNA from 1 species
CAGGGGUUAGUGUUGUCACCUAAGGAGUUCAAGCACCUUAAUUUUUUUUUUCUUUUCAGCUUGGAAGCUAAGAAAAUAUCUAAGAAGAAAAGGUCUUGAAAACUGAGAGAGCAGAGCAACUGCCAACAUAAAAUGCUUCCAGAACUUUAAGAUGCCUGAGGAUUUCACAAAUACAUUGCAUGAGGGAAAAUUACUCUUCUGUUGAUAGAAGAUCUAUGUCAAAGAAAUUCCCAUUGCAACAUGUUGAUGCAUGACUCAUCCUAGGAGAUAUCCUCUAUUGGAUUGGGGCCCUAGAUGAGACAGAGAGGUAUGUUAUAAAUGGCUUUUAUCAAUAAAUUAAAU